UUGAGUAUGACUUAUAUAGAGAGGUAAUUUACAAAGAGUGUACCGCUAUAACGAAUGUCAUUGCGAUUAUAGAUAGAAUGUUGUUAUAGAGAAGUAAAAUAUAAUAUGAAAAAUCAGUUCCAGAGAAAAUCAAGCCUUUAUAGUGAAAUACUGUUAUAACGAAUAACAAUUAUAGAGAGUUUUGACUGUAUAUAGAAUAGGAGAGGCAAAAGCAUGAUGGAAUGACAAGUGUCAUCACCACAAAAUUCAGAAUUUAAAAAUACAAAAUAAAAAAUAUUUUUAAAAAAUGCAAUAGUUAAAUAAAAACUACAUUACUCAGCAAAUAAAAAAACAAAAAACUGCAAAUUCGAAAAAACCUACGACAAAUUAGAUAAACACCAUAUUGUCAAAAAAAAAAAAAAAAAUACAAAUCCACGUUAGCAAAUUAUUUUGAUUACUGUACUAACUUAUCUCAAAUAAGGAAAAAACCCCACAACAAAUAACUGCAAUGGGUAAGUUAUUAUCAUUACACGCAGAGGUCCUUUCUCUCCCAAAUCUCCACCUGCGUUCCAAGUACUUUUCCACUAGCGUUCUAGGCCUAAUUCACCGGCGUUCAUGAUCCGGUAUUCCCAGGUAAGUUAACCAAUUUCUUUAGGUUUGUUCUAUUUGUUGUUGCAACUCAUUUGCACACAUUUAUAAAUGAUACAUGUUUGUUUAUGAAUUUGUGGGGGUAAGACUGAUUCGGAGACGAAAUGAGCUAUUUGAAAGUUUUUUAUGGGAUGAAAUUGGUUAUUUAUUUGUUAGCUUUCAAAUGUGGAGGUCUUCUUUCUUUUGCACAUAACAUGUUUGGUGAAAGUCCUAUUCAAACUCUUACAAGAAUGGUGGCCAAAAAUGAAUUGGUGAAGACUUUUGUACCUUUUGAGGUGGCGGCACCCGCUCGAGGAACCAAAGGAAGAUCACCCCUAAGCCAGUUGCUUCUACACCCGAGCAAAUUUUAGCAACUAAAGUACAAUAUAGUAACAUUUCUCAGUUACUGUUCUUUCUUAGUCAUUCUUUGUUCCUCCUCUAUGAAUGCCUUUAACGAUUAAGAUGGUGGAACAGAUUGUUUGGACAUGUCUAUAUGGCGAGGGAAUUUGGUAGUAUGAAGUAUGGAUAGGACGACCAACCGUUCACUGUUUAUGUACAUGUCAGUCUAAACAUGGAAUAUUUCAUUGCCAGAAUCAACAUCAGAUUGUGGUCCAGAGACUUCUACGAGACCUCAUAUUUAGCUUAAGGCCAGUUUCCGACAGGUUUUAGGAUCGUGAGGACUCGUGCGACAGAAGUAGCUAAUGAGGUACCUGCGCCGAUCGCUGGGGUUGCAGUGCAUGGUAGAGGACAGGCUGCUGGGGCCCGGCCAGAAAUCGUGGCCGUGGUGGUGCCAGGGGAGCAGCAGCACCAGCCAGGGGCGGGGCUCCUGCGGCUAGUCAGCAACGCGCUGAGUCCCAUGAGCCUCAGGAAUUCCAAAUGAGGCAGCAGAGUUUGCAACAGCGCCGACACAACCAGAUAUUAUAGCUCCUCCAGUGCUGUCCGAUGUGAUGGUCUGAGUGUUGAACUUGCUGAAUGGUUUGACAGAGGCAGGUGUGUUACUAGCUGUUCUAGGUGCACAGGGUGCCAGAGUGGGUAAUCCAGCUCCGGGCAGAGUUCGUGCUCCGGGGUUACAACAUGCUGCAGCUGUGGCUCCUCGUUUGGAUAAGGCUACAGAACUGGGUGUACUUCCUAGGCCAGUGGGAGGUCCGGUGUUGACCGAGGAUGAGCAUGAUUUGUUUUGGAGGUUCACUAAGAUGAAAUCUCCAGAGUUCUACGAUUCUGAGGUUGAGAAUGCUUACGAGUUCAUUAUGGACUGGCAUGAGAAGCUCUAUAAGAUGGGGGCAGUAGAGAAAUAUGGUGUUGAGUUCGUGACCUUCCAGCUCUUGGGUGAUGCCAAGUUAUGGUGGAGGGCUUUUGUGGAGUGCAGGCCAGCGGGAUGACCUCCGCUGACUUGGACACAGUUCUAUUAGGUAUUUUUAGAUAAGUAUGUUCCUCGUACUUUGAGGGACCGCAGGCGUGAUGAGUUAAGCAAUAUUGAGCAGGGUAAUUUGUCUGUGGCUGCUUAUGAGGUUCGGUUUCAUUUGGUAUGUCACUAUGCCCUCCAGCUUGUGCCUACUAAAGAGGAGAGGGUUAGGAGAUUUGUGAAGGGGUUGAACACUGCCCUUCAGUUGUUAGCUCUUCAGUUUGUAGCUAUAGGUGCUUCCUUUCAGGAAGUGAUGGAUCAUGUUAGGACUGUCGAGGGAGUUCGGCAGGAGGGUUACCAUAAGCACGCGGAGAAGAAGGCCCGAAAGGGUGGUGGUUACAGUGGUUCUUUCGCUAAGGGCCAGAAUUCUCAGUUUUAUAUGGGAUGCCCUAUUCAGGCAGCUAUGCAGGUUUCAGCUGAGGCCCAUCAGGGGUUAGUCAGCACUAUUCCAGUUAGCCAAGGGGUUCGCAGACUAGAGCUCCAGAUUAUGGUGGUUACUUGGCUUCAUCUAUUUCUGUUCAUCGUCCGACGCUAGACCUUGAAUGCUUUAAGUGUGGUGAUACGGGGCAUUUCAAGAGGAAUUAUUCCAGACUUGGGCAAGGUGGUCAGGGUAGUCAGUUUCAGGCUCCCCGAGCCCAGCAUCAGGUAGAGGGAGAGGAUCUUAUGGUGGGAAUAGUUCUCAGUCUGGGCGUGGCAGUCACGCAGCUGGCAGAGGUGGCCCCCAGCCUAACGGAUAUGGGUUUCAUUCUGGUAGAGUUGGUCAUUAGCCCAGCAGGGGCGGAGCUCAGACAAGAUAGGUUGAUCGCAAUGGUUCGCAGGCUACUAGCGGACGGGUUUAUUGUUAUGCCUUUCCUGGCAGGACAGAGGCUGAGGGCUCAGAUGCAGUUAUUACACGUAACAUCUCAUUCUGUCACCGGAUGACUUCUGUAUUUUUUGACCCGGGUUCUACGUUUUCUUAUGUGUCUACAUAUUUCUCUAUGGGUCUUGAUAUGGUCAGUGAUUUACUUGAUGCCCCUAUACAUCUAUCUACCCCAGUUGGAGAUUCUGUGGUUGUAGAUAGAGUUUUUCGAUCUUAUACUGUCACACUUAUGGGGUAUGGCACCUGGGUUGACUUAGUGAUUUUAGACAUGGUAGAUUUUGAUGUCAUCCUGUGUAUGAGUUGGCUAGCUCCUUACCAUGCAAUUCUAGACUGUCAUGCAAGACAUUCGCCUUAGCUAUGUCCCAGGGUGCCUAGACUUGAUUGGAAGGGUAACCUUAGUCCCUCCCCAAAGAAAAUAAUUUCCUUUAUUCUUGAGAAGAAGCUAGUGGACAGGGGGCGUUUGGCUUAUUUGGCACAUAUUUGUGAUACUAGUGUUGACGGUUCAUCUCUUGAAUCAGUUCCUGUGGUACGGGAGUCUGCGGAGGUGUUCCCCGCAGACUCGCCAGGCAUGCCACCGGACCAUGACAUUGACUUUUGCAUUGACUUAGAGCCAGGGACCCACCAUAUUUCUAUUCCGCCAUAUCGGAUGGCACCAACAAAGUUGAAGGAAUUAAAGGAACAACUUUAAGAUCUUCUUAGUAAGGGUUUCAUCCGUCCGAGUGUAUCCCCGUGGGGUGCUCCCGUUCUAUUUGUGAAAAAGAAAGAUAGGACUAUGCGAAUGUGCAUUGAUUAUCGCUAGUUAAAUAAAGUCACCAUCCGGAAUAAAUACCCCAUCCCUUGUAUUGAUGAUUUAUUUGACCAGCUACGAGGGGCUUCUGUGUUUUCGAAAAUUGACUUGAGGUCGGGUAUCCGAUAAGUUGGUAUUUUACAAAUUUAUCUCUUCUUUAAUCUCAUAUUUUUGCUAUAUUUGAUUGAGAAAAUAGUGCAUUUAAUACCGUUUACAUCUAUUUUAUAGGUUUUAUGUGAUUUAGAAGUGAUCGGAAGAAAUGAAGUGAAAAUAAAGUAAAAAAUAGGCCGAAUUGGACAAAAACUGCACAGUUUUGUAAAAACGGGCUAGAUUUGCAAAAAAUGAAAAUCAGGGAUUGUUUUGGUCUAAUUUUGAGUGGAAAAAUUUUGGGACUACAAAAGCAAGCUUGAAGACAUUAUUUUUCAUCUUUGGCCAUUUUUACACAAUUUUGGGAGCUAGGGUUCAUCACCAACACUUUGGAAGAGAAGAUUUAGAGGCACCCAAUGAGAAAUUCUUUACUCAUUUCUUCUAUUCUUGCUAUGUAUUGAAUAUUUAUGUGUGUGGUAUUUCAUUCCAAUGCUUGAAUCUUGUUAAUGCAAAUAUUCAUAUGUUUAGUUUGGAUGAAUCUUUUAUUUUGCUUAUGCAUUAAAUAAUUUUUAUUUCUAAUUGAGUGGGUUUAUUGUUUCUUUAUUAACUCUUCAAGCUUUAAUGUCAUUUAAUGGUGUAUAACAUUAUUUGUGCCUAAAUACCCUUACUUUGCUUGGAAAAGAAAGUAGAGGUUAGGAAAAAAGUUAAUAGCAAGGAUUUGGGGCUUAACCCUCAUCUAAUAACUUGAGCUAGGAAUAGGAUAGUUAACUUGAGAUUCAAUUGGUAGUGUUUAAUUUCACACUCUAAAGCUUGAAAAAGUUUAGAGUGAAAUUCAUUGAUUUGGUUGGAGGACUUUCAAUGAGAUUUUUGAAACUAUUAUCUAUUAACAUAAACUCGCUCUUAGUUGUAAAAUUGUAAAAUACAUUGGAUCGUUACUUGAGAGUAAUUUCCCUUGUAUCCAUGCUUGUGGCCAUUAAUCAUUUUACUUGCUUUCUAGGUUAGUUUACAUUUUUGCAUUAGUUAUAAUUUCUCAAAACCAAAAUAUUAUCAAGUAUUUGGCUUAGUGUAGAAAGUGAAAAUUCCUUACUUGCUUGAUCGCCUAGUAUAUUGUUCCUUGUGGGAUUUGACCCCGACUCAUAGUUGGGUAAUUAUAUUGCAUAUGACCGUGUACAGUUUCUCUU